UUUGUAUUUACUACUAUUUUUUUUUAUUUUUUUAUUUUUUUUCUUUUAAAAAAGUAAUAUAACUUGACAAUAUUUUGCUUCUUUUUUAAAAAAAUAUCAAAUAUGAAAUAACAAAAUACUAUUAGUUAGUGAAGUCUUUUUGAAAUUAUGAAAUGAAAUUAAAUUUCAAAAGAAUACACGAAAAUUUUGAUUUUUUUUCUUACAAUUAUGGUAUGUCUAGACGAGCAGUGGCAGAACAAUUAACUUGUGAUUUACUCAUUCCGUUUCAUAUUAAGUGUCGU
rnacentral:lncRNA from 1 species